GACGUAGGGUGCGAGCGUUGUUCGGAUUUACUGGGCGUAAAGGGCGCGUAGGCGGCCUGGUCAGUCGGGGUGUGAAAGCCCGGGGCUCAACCCCGGAACGGCACCCGAGACGGCCAGGCUGGAGACCGGGAGAGGAGGGUGGAAUAGCCAGUGUAGAGGUGAAAUUCGUAGAUAUUGGCUGGAACACCGGUGGCGAAAGCGGCUCUCUGGCCCGGUUCUGACGCUGAGGCGCGAAAGCGUGGGGAGCAAACAGG
rnacentral:rRNA from 1 species